rnacentral:rRNA from 1 species
UGGGGGAUAUUGCACAAUGGGCGAAAGCCCGAUGCAGCGACGCCGCGUGGGGGAUGAAGGCCUUCGGGUUGUAAACUUCUUUUGCUCUGAACAAGGCAUGCUAAUGGGUGUGUUGAGUGUAGGGGUUGAUUAGCGCCGGCUAACUACGUGCCAGCAGCCGCGGUAAUACGUAGGGCGCGAGCGUUGUCCGGAAUUAUUGGGCGUAAAGGGCUUGUAGGUGGCUGGUUGCGUCUGUCGUGAAAGCUCAUGGCUUAACUGUGGGUUUGCGGUGGGUACGGGCUGGCUUGAGUGCAGUAGGGGAGGCUGGAAUUCCUGGUGUAGCGGUGGAAUGCGCAGAUAUCAGGAGGAAUACCGGUGGCGAAGGCGGGUCUCUGGGCUGUUACUGACACUGAGGAGCGAAAGCAUGGGGAGCGAACAGG